AUGGGUGCCGAUAGCAAUCUCCACGUCCUGGACGCCGGCGUGGUCAGGCCGUCCGACAUCCUCCCGGCGCACUCUCUCCCGUUCACCUUCUUCGACGUAAGAUGGCUCCGCCGGCCGCCCGUCCAGCGACUCUUCCUCUACCGUCUCGAACACCACCACCACCACACCGUCCAGCAGCUCAUCUUGGGCCUCAAGGCCUCCCUCUCCAAGGCCCUCACUCUCUUCUACCCGCUCGCUGGCCACGUCCGCCUUGCCCCCAACACCAACCGCUACGAGCUCUUCUACCAGCCCGGCGACGGCGUCGCCUUCACCGUCGCCGAGUACGACACCGACGUCGACGACCUCGCCCGUUCCUCCGACGGCGAGCCCGUGCAGGUCGCCAGCCUCGCGCCUCUCGUGCCAACACUUCCAAACGGCCGCGCCGUGCUCGCCCUGCAGGCCACCGGAUUGCUUGGGGGGCGCGGCCUCGCGCUCGGCGUAACUAUGCACCACUCCGCUGGUGACGGCGCCAGCUCCACCCACUUCCUGCACACUUGGGCCGCCGUCUGCAACGGUGCGGUUGAAAUGCCUCCGCCACCCGUCAUCGACCGCACGCUCAUCGCUGAUCCUAGGGGCCUCUACGACAUCUAUUGCAAAGAAAUGCCCACUGACGACGGCGAGAUCGAGCUCGUGACCAGCAGCGUGUCCUCUGUCCCCGAUGACCAGCUCGUCGCCACGUUCACACUACCUCAGGAGCUCCUAAGUGGCAUCAAGGACACGCUUGCCCGAGAUGCGGCCAGGCACGCUGCGCCGCCGCUCAGAUGCUCGUCGAUGCUCGCCGCCUACAGCUUCAUCUGGUCAUGCUACUGCCGAGCCCAACAGGAACAGAACCAAACAAAAACAACUUAUUUCCUAUUCGCUGUGGAUCACCGGGCACGGUUGAAGCCGCCCGUCCCUGCCACAUACUUUGGAAACUGCAUCAACCCGGCCGUCGCCGCCGCGCGCCACGACGAACUCGCAGCAGCCGGAACGGGAGGCCUCUUCACGGCAUUCAUGGCGAUCGCGAGCGCGCUGGAGGAAGAGGUGGGGGAGCGUUCGCAUGAGAGGUGGGAUGGAUGCAUCGAAAGGGCGAGGGGGGCCAUGAAGGCCGGCGCGAUGUUCGUGGUGGGGUCGCCGAGGUUCCGCGUGUAUGACAUCAACUUCGGGUUCGGGAGGCCAGCGAAGGUUGUGGCAGUGUCCGCGGCGAAGACCGGCACGAUGCCGAUGGCAGAUGCGCCCAACGGCGUUGCCGGUAUCGAGGUAGGGGUCUCGUUUCCGGCGGGAGGAAUGGAGCAUUUCCGGCACUGCUUUGACGAUGCCAUGCAUGCCAUCGGCAUGCAAGACGUCUAUCUUUAA
rnacentral:rRNA from 1 species